GACGAACGCUGGCGGCGGGCUUAACACAUGCAAGUCGAACGGAAAGGCCCUGCUUUUGUGUGGUGCUCGAGUGGCGAACGGGUGAGUAACACGUGAGUAUCCUGCCCUUUACUUUGGGAUAACUUCAGGAAACUGGGGCUAAUACCGGAUAGGAGCUCCUGCUGCAUGGUGGGGGUUGGAAAGUUUCGGCGGUUGGGGAUGGACUCUCGGCUUUUCAGCUUGUUGGUGGGGUAGUGGCUUACCAAGGCUUUGACGGGUAGCCGGCCUGGGAGCGUGACCGGCGACCGUGGGACUGAGCUACGGCCCAGUCUCGUACGGGAGGCAGCAGUGGGGAAUAUUGCACAACGGGCGGAAGCCUGAUGCAGCAAUGCCGCGUGCGGGAUGACGGCCUUCGGGUUGUAAACCGCUUUCGCCUAUGACGAAGCGUGAGUGACGGUAAUGGGUAAAGAAGCACCGGCUAACUACGUG
rnacentral:rRNA from 1 species